rnacentral:rRNA from 1 species
GGGUCAGUAGGUUGGUCGUGCCACUGGUACGUACUGGUCUCACUGAUUCCUCCUUCCUGAAGAACCGUAAUGCCAUUAAUUUGGUGUUGCGGGGAAGCAGGUCUGUUACUUUGAAAAAAUUAGAGUGUUUAAAGCAAGCUAACGCUUGAAUACAUUAGCAUGGAAUAAUGAAAUAGGACGAUCGAUCCUAUUUUGUUGGUUUCUAGGAUUGACGUA